AUGAGAGGGGUAGGAAAAGAGAGAAGGGGGACCUGCAAGUGGAAGAAUGAGCUGCCGAAAUCAGGCUGCCAGUCCAGGAUGAAGAUGACCUACCGGGCUGCCUCGCUCGGGAGGCAGCGACGAUGCGAUCGAAAACAACACCGUCAGCAUCUCACAAUCAAGGUGGAUCCAACCUGUCUGCGGGAGACAAGAUCCACACCCACAUCACCUGGAUGGACGCCGACGGCAACAGCGCCGUCAGGAUCGACGAGCUCGUUUCCUCCCUUGAGCCGCUUCUCCCUUGGGCCCUGCUACCACUCCGUCGCCGUUGACCGGUCUGAGAGAUCGACGAGUAUAGGAGCCAAACCAAGCACCGUAGACGGCCACCCCAUGGCCGCACCAGUGAGUUGA
rnacentral:rRNA from 1 species